GCCUGAGUGGCUCAGUCGGUUGAGUGUCUGACUUCAGCUCAGGUCAUGAUCUCACAGUUCGUGGGUUUGAGCCCUGUGUCAGGCU
rnacentral:tRNA from 1 species